UUGCUGAAACCAAUUGUAGGGAAAGGUGUCUGGAAUUUCCACUGUGGAGAAUUAAUCGUGGCUCUGUUCAGACAGUGUAGGUCUGGGAUUGUGUGUGUGCGUGUGUGUACAAGCACUGGUGCCCCCACACGUGUGCCCGUGCUGGUUUUAUGUGUGUGUUUUCUCCAACCAUGCUGCAGCAGGAGCAGGAGCAGAAUGGCAGAUGGUGGGUGUGAGUCAGGGCUGCGGAGUGGCCUGGCUGACAGGGGAGAGGUGUCACCCAGGAUGUACAGGGCGUCGAGGGCGGCAGGAGAGACAGACAGGGCAAAGGUGGAGGAGUUCCGGGGCCGGCUGAGGAGACUGUAUCCCAUCAGGUGGGAUCAGGUGGGGAAAUGGGAGAGGGUUGGUCUCCUCUGUAACCCGGAGAAGGGUGGCCUUUGGCAAUAACAGGGUGGGAAAACUUUGUUGCUGUCCUGAGCUGGAAUGUACAGAGUAGGACCGAGAGCCCAGCAGACGGCGAGCCCCAUGGUCUAACACAGAGACGCCAGCACCUUCUGAGCGCACUUUGGGGGCAACAUCAGGCUGAGCGCACAGCCACAGAGGCGGACGCCCUGAGAGAGUGAGGGAGCCGGAGGCCAGCGCUGGAUCUGAAUAACAUCAUGCCUCUGGAAAGAGUCACACCCAUUUCAUGCAGAAUCAGGACAAUAAAGAAAUUGAGUUGAUCAUCCGAGUUAAGCCGUCCACUUUCUUCACUCAACAUCCAUGGUAAUCCAGUUUCUGCUUCCCGUACCGCAAGUCCAAGUCCGCAUUUAAGAGUGAGGAAGGUCAGUCAGAAGCAAGAUCUGAAGUUCUGAAGGGACUUAUCCUGUGGCAUUUCUUAAAAAAAAUAAAAGACAUAAAAUGACAAGCAUUUAGUGGGGAGCAACCCCCCGCUGUGGCUAACGCUGUCACCAGAGCCAUGUAUAUUUUUUUUCAUCAUGUUAGGCUGGAAACCUUACCUUUUUUUUUAUUCCAACCUUUCUCUCUGAGUCAUAGAAUGCCAAGACUUUUGCCUGAAAGAUGAUGCUAGAUUACCAAACAAAUAAUAAACGCGUCACAGCCUCCGGUUAGCCUGAGUUAGCCCUAACCUCCCCCAGCAUCGUCUGCCUCCGCCUGAGGAAGGUCCCGGCUCCUGGCAUGUCCUUCCUGCCUGGGAGGAGGCGGGAUGGGCGUCAGCUGGGAAAAUGACAAAAACAUAGAUGGAAGUCACUUUCUUAUAUCAUGUUUUUAAGUAACUAUUGAUUAUAGAGAGUAGUUCAGCCUUUAGUGAAUGGUUAAGGAAGUACUCAUAAGUUUGUCAUCAAAAGGUUUAUUAUAACGAUGUUAUACUAUUAAAGUUUUAAUAUAUAUAGUUGUAAAUUGAUGAUACAGCAAGUAAAAAGACAGUUUAAAUUUUUUUUCUGCUUAAAACAAUUUUUAUUUUUGGUGAAAAAAUACAGAUACAUUUUUUGCUUUGAAUUUAUUUUACAUGGCAAAUCAACUUUAGGUCCUCUGAGACAAGGCUGAUGUGUUUUCAUUUCAGAACACAUUGAAUUGCUGUUAUUCCACUAUAGAACCUUUCCUGCUAUGGCAUGGUUUCCUCUUCAGUCUGACAAAUGCAGCAACAUUCCCAUAUCCCGAUAAGUUGGGUUUUAAGAGGCAAAGUUAAAAUCCUUUGAGGAUCCUGAGUACACUUUUGAACUCAGAAUAAGGGUUAUUAUGACUAUUAACUUCUGUAUAAACAGAGGCACAGCUCAACAUCCCAGAGAAAGCUUCUUUGAGACACAAGAGAAGGGGUGCCCAGUUGUCAUAGCAAAGUGACUCCCUCAGGACCCAGCAGGCUGCUCCAAGGGGUCAGGUUCCCCUCAACUCAAGCCAAGUGCACUGCAGGCCUUUAAAAGCAGCAGCAGCCUUGUCUGGAAGAACAUGCUCCCUGCACUCCUCAGGCUAACCUGGCAGCGCCCUCCUGGGAGUUGUGGCAUCGGGGAGAGGGGAGCAUGCUAGAUGUGAGGACAUUUAGGGGGUCUCUUCCCCCCAGGUAUCCUCAAGACUGCACGCACUCUGCUGGGUGAAAACAUGAACACUUUGUUACUUAGCAUUCCAUCUGGAAAAACAAUAUCAGUUUUGAAUUUGGCAAAAAAAAAUGAGGAGAAUUUUAGAGACAAUUAGAGAUAGUGGAGCUUCACGGUGACCUGGUAGGGACGUGGCCUGCACAGAGACGGCCAUAGCAGGGAGGGCGCUCUCUGUGGCUUAGAGGCUGGAGGUCUUCAAUGAGCAGAAAUGAUUUGAAGAACUGCAUGGCUAUCAUGAUAACAUGAAUGAAAGACUAUAUCCUAAAUCUUGACUAACUUAACAUUGUUACGUCAAGAGUGAAAUUGCUGUAGCUGUUUAAUUAAAAAAAAAAAAAAAAAGAGCGAGGCUU